AUUGAACGCUGGCGGCAUGCUUUACACAUGCAAGUCGAACGGUAACAGGUUAAGCUGACGAGUGGCGAACGGGUGAGUAAUGCAUCGGAACGUGCCCGGUCGUGGGGGAUAACGCAGCGACAGCUGCGCUAAUACCGCAUACGAUCUGAGGAUGAAAGCGGGGGACCGUAAGGCCUCGCGCGAUCGGAGCGGCCGAUGUCAGAUUAGGUAGUUGGUGGGGUAAAGGCUCACCAAGCCAACGAUCUGUAGCUGGUCUGAGAGGACGACCAGCCACACUGGGACUGAGAGACGGCGCAGACUCCUACGGGAGGCAGCAGUGGGGAAUUUUGGACAAUGGGCGAAAGCCUGAUCCAGCAAUGCCGCGUGCAGGAAGAAGGCCUUCGGGUUGUAAACUGCUUUUGUACGGAGCGAAAAGGUCUCCUCUAAUACAGGGGGCUCAUGACGGUACCGUAAGAAUAAGCACCGGCUAACUACGUGCCAGCCGCCGCAGUAA
rnacentral:rRNA from 1 species